rnacentral:SRP_RNA from 2 species
GCCGGGCGUGGUGGCUCACGCCUGUAGUCCCAGCGCUUUGGGAGGCCGAGGUGGGUGGAUCACCUGAGGUCAGGAGUUUGAGACCAGCCUGGCCAACAUGGUGAAACCCCGUCUCUA